UACGAAGGGGCUAGCGUUGCUCGGAAUCACUGGGCGUAAAGCGCACGUAGGCGGCUUUUUAAGUCAGAGGUGAAAUCCUGGAGCUCAACUCCAGAACUGCCUUUGAUACUGGAGAGCUUGAGUCCGGGAGAGGUGAGUGGAACUGCGAGUGUAGAGGUGAAAUUCGUAGAUAUUCGCAAGAACACCAGUGGCGAAGGCGGCUCACUGGCCCGGUACUGACGCUGAGGUGCGAAAGCGUGGGGAG
rnacentral:rRNA from 1 species